UACAGAGGUCUCAAGCGUUGUUCGGAUUCAUUGGGCGUAAAGGGUGCGUAGGCGGCGCGGUAAGUCGGGUGUGAAAUCUCGGGGCUUAACUCCGAAACUGCAUUCGAUACUGCCGUGCUUGAGGACUGGAGAGGAGACUGGAAUUUACGGUGUAGCGGUGGAAUGCGUAGAUAUCGUAAGGAAGACCAGUGGCGAAGGCGGGUCUCUGGACAGUUCCUGACGCUGAGGCACGAAGGUCAGGGGAGCAAACGGG
rnacentral:rRNA from 1 species